CCCCUGGACCACCAUGGAGAGACCAACAAAGACAGUGAGACUGCCAGAGAUCUUAUGAGCUCUGAGGUCAAAGAGGUGGGGGCAUUUGUUCCACAGACAAAGAGAAUGGUACCCGAUUUGCUGGCAUCGCAGAGGCCUCCAUUGACCUGAGGGAUUCCUCUGUCUCCUUGGAGAGGCCAUUGGUCAGGCCUCGGGAAGCCAUGGCUCGCCUCCCAAACCUGUUCAGCAAGAGUAGCACCCAGCUGGGGGAGCAGAGCUGCACAGGC